rnacentral:rRNA from 1 species
UACAGAGGUCUCAAGCGUUGUUCGGAUUCAUUGGGCGUAAAGGGCGCGUAGGCGGCGGGGUAAGUCGGGUGUGAAAUCUCAGAGCUCAACUCUGAAACUGCACUCGAUACUGCUCUGCUUGAGGACUGGAGAGGAGACUGGAAUUCACGGUGUAGCAGUGAAAUGCGCAGAUAUCAGGAGGAACACCGGUGGCGAAGGCGGGUCUCUGGGCCGAAACUGACGCUGAGGAGCGAAAGCGUGGGGAGCGAACAGG